AAUGUAACGGGGCUAAGCCAGUUACCGAAGCUGCGGAUUUGCACGCAAGUGCAAGUGGUGGGAGAGCGUUCUGUAAGCCUGUGAAGGUGGCUUGUAAAGGCUGCUGGAGGUAUCAGAAGUGCGAAUGCUGACAUGAGUAGCGUUAAAGCGGGUGAAAAGCCCGCUCGCCGUAAGCGCAAGGUUUUCUACGCAACGUUCAUCGGCGUAGAGUGAGUCGGCCCCUAAGGCGAGGCAGAGAAGCGUAGCUGAUGGGAAACAGGUCAAUAUUCCUGUACCGAUGUGUAGUGCGAUGUGGGGACGGAGAAGGUUAACUCAGCAGACUUGGAUGUGUCUGUUCAAGCCUGUAGUCGUGCCUGGUAGGUAAAUCCGCCGGGCUUAGAUGAGGGGUGAUAACGAGUCUGCUUGCAGACGAAGUGAGUGAUACCCUGCUUCCAGGGAAAGCCACUAAGCUUCAGCUACACACGACCGUACCGCAAACCGACACUGGUGCGCGAGAUGAGUAUUCUAAGGCGCUUGAGAGAACUCAGGAGAAGGAACUCGGCAAAUUGACACCGUAACUUCGCAAGAAGGUGUGCCUUUAGUAGGUGAAGUCCCUGCGGAUGGAGCCCAAUGAGGUUGCAAAAAAUCGGUGGCUGCGACUGUUUAAUAAAAACACAGCACUCUGCAAACACGAAAGUGGACGUAUAGGGUGUGACGCCUGCCCGGUGCUGGAAGAUUAAAUGAUGGGGUGCAAGCUCUUGAUUGAAGUCCCAGUAAACGGCGGCCGUAACAAUAACGGUCCCAAGGUAGCGAAAUUCCUUGUCGGGUAAGUUCCGACCUGCACGAAUGGCGUAACGAUGGCCACACUGUCUCCUCCUGAGACUCAGCGAAGUUGAAAUGUUUGUGAUGAUGCAAUCUCCCCGCGGAAAGACGGAGAGACCCCAUGAACCUUUACUGUAGCUUUGUAUUGGACUUUGAACAGAUCUGUGUAGGAUAGGUGGGAGGCUUUGAAGCAGGGUCGCUAGAUCUUGUGGAGCCAACGUUGAAAUACCACCCUGGUGUGUUUGAGGUUCUAACCUAGGCCCGUAAUCCGGGUCGGGGACAGUGCAUGGUAGGCAGUUUGACUGGGGCGGUCUCCUCCCAAAGCGUAACGGAGGAGUUCGAAGGUACGCUAGGUACGGUCGGACAUCGUGCUAAUAGUGCAAUGGCAUAAGCGUGCUUAACUGCGAGACUGACAAGUCGAGCAGAUGCGAAAGCAGGACAUAGUGAUCCGGUGGUUCUGUAUGGAAGGGCCAUCGCUCAACGGAUAAAAGGUACUCUGGGGAUAACAGGCUGAUACCGCCCAAGAGUUCAUAUCGACGGCGGUGUUUGGCACCUCGAUGUCGGCUCAUCUCAUCCUGGGGCUGUAGCCGGUCCCAAGGGUAUGGCUGUUCGCCAUUUAAAGAGGUACGUGAGCUGGGUUUAAAACGUCGUGAGACAGUUUGGUCCCUAUCUUCCGUGGGCGCUGCAGAUUUGAGGAAGCCUGCUCCUAGUACGAGAGGACCGGAGUGGACACACCUCUGGUGUAUCGGUUGUCACGCCAGUGGCAUUGCCGAGUAGCUAUGUGUGGAAGAGAUAACCGCUGAAAGCAUCUAAGCGGGAAACUCGUUUCAAGAUGAGAUCUGCCGGGGCCUUGAGCCCCCUAAAGAGUCGUUCAAGACCAGGACGUUGAUAGGUCAGGUGUGGAAGCGCAGUAAUGCGUUAAGCUAACUGAUACUAAUUGCUCGUGCGGCUUGACC
rnacentral:rRNA from 1 species